rnacentral:rRNA from 1 species
UACGAAGGGGGCUAGCGUUGUUCGGAAUGACUGGGCGUAAAGGGCGCGUAGGCGGCGCAUUUAGUCAGGCGUGAAAGCCCUGGGCUCAACCUAGGAAUUGCGCUUGAUACUGGUGUGCUGGAGUGCGGGAGAGGAUGGUGGAAUUCCCAGUGUAGAGGUGAAAUUCGUAGAUAUUGGGAAGAACACCGGUGGCGAAGGCGGCCAUCUGGACCGUUACUGACGCUGAGGCGCGAAAGCGUGGGGAGCAAACAGG